rnacentral:rRNA from 1 species
GCAGUCGCCACGGGAAUACGAAGGGGGCUAGCGUUGUUCGGAAUUACUGGGCGUAAAGCGCACGUAGGCGGAUAUUUAAGUCAGGGGUGAAAUCCCGCAGCUCAACUGCGGAACUGCCUUUGAUACUGGGUAUCUUGAGUAUGGAAGAGGUUAGUGGAAUUGCGAGUGUAGAGGUGAAAUUCGUAGAUAUUCGCAGGAACACCAGUGGCGAAGGCGGCUAACUGGUCCAUAACUGACGCUGAGGUGCGAAAGCGUGGGGAGCAAACAGGAUUAGAUACCCCUGUAGUCCCUGUCUCUUAUAC